rnacentral:lncRNA from 1 species
GGACGUUCGGAAAGCUCAUCCCGCCUGACUAUGGGAUAAGGAUGAAGCUUGGACGUGGAGUGCGGAAGAUAUGUAAUCCGAACGGGAGAAAAUCUGGGAGUAUUCCGGAAGAGAAGAAGCCGGGAAUUCGGUUGGAUUGGAUGAUGGGAUGAAUCCGUAGAUGAUUCGGCUGAUGGUUGGGAGGAAACCGUGGACUAAGUUGGGAUGCUCACGGAGGAGAAUAUCAUGGGAGAGACGUUGGGAGGAGCUGGAUCUUACGAACGGAUUGAACGUGAAACAAGGGAGAUAAGUUGGGAUCUCGGCUGGAGCUGGGAAGUCUGUGGGAUUAAUCUGGGAGUUUGGAUUAAGCUCAAUCUAUUAGACGUUGGGAAGAUCUCGGAGUAGAUGAUGGGUUGGUUCAGAAGCAGAGGAAAUGGGCGAAGAAGAUGGGCACAGGCGCGAGGGAUUCGGAAGA